CUUGGGGCUGGGGUGGGGGGGACGCCCAGAGCGCGCGAGUUUGGGGGAGAUGAAGAAGAUCUGGGUGAAGAAACGUCUCCAGAAAGGCGGUCACUCACGGCGUUUUGGACGCUUCACGCAUGGUGCGUUGUAUUACUUCUGCCCUUCAGUCCCUUUUGGGGUGGAUGAGGAAAAAAUGGGGGGGCAGGAGCCAGAUGCAAAAGAAGGUGCAGUUUUGCACCUUUACAUGACUGCGGACACAAUGCACCAUGUCACUUGUACUUACCGCACCACCAUUAAAAGCACAGGGCCUCUCUUCUUCUUAACACCUGUCUUUCUUAAUAGAAGAGAUUGACUAGGAAGAGCCUAGAUGGGUUUGAAGGCUGUGAAAUUCCCUUAGCAACCUUCAAUGGUUGUGUUUGCAAAAAGAAGUCAAACCCCAUUUUCGCCUCAGUCCAAACAGUCUAUGGGAUAAUUGCUUUGUAGUUCAGGAUGUGUGUAUAAAUCCAUUGGUUAAUCCAUGGGCUAAUUAUUUGAAUUUAAUUCAGUAAACCCAUGUUAAACUAUGUGUUAGUUUGUGGCAUGAUAAAGUGAUGCUUCAGGAAGCAAAUGUAUCUGGGACGAACAGGAACAUCUGUUCAGCUUCAGCAGGACCCAAGGGCUUCACGGAUCACAAUUAGGAAAAACAUUGGUCUAAUGGGACCACUCCAAAUGUAAUAAAAUAUGAACAAGCCUUUGAGUUCCCCAGAAUCUGAGUCUUAAUAAAGGUAUUUCCAUACAAUAGAAAUUGGACUAUAUGUGUGUGUUGUGUUCCCUUAUGAGCAAAAUGAUUGCUUUUUAUUUCUAUGCAGAAUGACAUUAGCUUCCAUACUCAACUUCUAGACAAAACUGGGCAUGUGGAAUCCUGUAGGCACAUCACUAUUCCCUAAAAUUUGUCUGGAGGGCCAAAGAUUUCCCACUUCUAGGUUAGUUUCAAAGAGAGAGAUCUGGUUAUUAGCUAUAAUAGCUAAAAAUAGAACCCACCCACAUCAUCAGAAUCAGUGCAAUUUACAUUAUUAGUUGUUAGGGAUCAAAUACAGAGGCUGCUUCUCACCUUCGUGCUCUCCCUAUGAAUUUCAUCAUAGCGUACGCUUAGCCAGUUUUGAAAAUGAAAUACUACAGGAGAAAUCUGGCUUGACCUAAUAAGUUUAGGCUGUGAUCCUAUCCCCGUUUGCAAAAAGUCUCACUGAAUUAGUGAAACUUAUUUCUGAGUCGGCACAUAAAAUAUUCCAUUAGUCAAGUAAUGUGGAGGCCAGCACCUCUUCGAGAGUGCUAUUUACUUUAUUUGAAUGGCACUUUCUUGAGAAGGGAAGGUGUAGUCUGUGGGAG
rnacentral:lncRNA from 1 species